UGAGCAAUCUGCCCUUCUCAUCGGAAUAAGCGUUGGAAACGACGUCUAAUGCCGAAUACGACCUCCUUUCGCAUGAUCGGAGGUGGAAAGCUCCGGCGGAGAAGGAUGAGCUCGCGGCCUAUCAGCUAGUUGGUGUGGGUAAUGGCCCACCGAAGGGGGACGACGGGUAGCUGGUCUGAGAGGAUGGCCAGCCACAUUGGGACUGAGACACGGCCCAGACCUCUACGGGAG
rnacentral:rRNA from 1 species